ensembl:lncRNA
GUACCCGGCCGCCCCGAGAUCGACCCCUCCCCCGCGAGGGGCGGGAUUAGGUUCAGGCCACGGUGGGGGCCGAGCGGGCCGCGACAACCCCCACUCCGCAGCCUGGGCGCGCGGUCCGCGGGGCCCGGAGGCGGCGCUAGCUCGGGAAGGAGGGGGUCAAGCGGCAGGAAGUGCGCUCUCCCACCGCGUCCUGAGCACAGUGACCCCCUCCCGUCCGACGCGCGGGGGAGAAUUGGGAUGGCGGGAGAGAGAGGGGUACCCUGGGGAGGAGGCGCCUCGCGGGCACGUUGCGCUGGAGCGAGCCCUCGCUCAGGGGCCUGUCUCUGUCCCCAAGCUUCUCGGUCCAUCAGGAUGGUAACCCCCUACUCCACACGGCUUACCUCUCUCUGGCACUGUCCAACGCAUGGACCCCUCACCCCACUGGCUUCCUGCCUCUCUCCACCAGCUCACUGCAGCCUGCUGGCUCCUUCCCCAGCCCUCCAGUGCACCACUGGCAGCAGGUUCUUGCCUAAUCAGCAUCUGUGUGGUGCCCAGGUGCAUCCCAGCCCUGACCCUGGCAUCUGCCUGAUGGCUGCCCUUCAUGUCUACUCCGUCUUCUCUAGCAGGGUCCUCAAGAGG